rnacentral:rRNA from 1 species
UACGGAGGAUCCGAGCGUUAUCCGGAUUUAUUGGGUUUAAAGGGUGCGUAGGCGGCUUGGUAAGUCAGUGGUGAAAUGUUAAGGCUUAACUUUAAACUUGCCAUUGAUACUGCCGGGCUUGAGUACAGCUGAGGUGGGCGGAAUGAGUCAUGUAGCGGUGAAAUGCAUAGAUAUGACUCAGAACGCCGAUAGCGAAGGCAGCUCACUAAAGUGUAACUGACGCUGAGGCACGAAAGCGUGGGGAUCAAACAGG